AUUGAACGCUAGCGGCAUGCCUAACACAUGCAAGUCGAACGGCAGCACGAGGAGCUUGCUCCUUGGUGGCGAGUGGCGGACGGGUGAGUAACGCGUAGGAAUCUACCUUAUAGUGGGGGAUAACCCGGGGAAACUCGGGCUAAUACCGCAUAAUCUCUACGGAGCAAAGUGGGGGACCUUUUAGGCCUCACGCUAUUAGAUGAGCCUGCGUCGGAUUAGCUAGUUGGUGGGGUAAAGGCCUACCAAGGCGACGAUCCGUAGCUGGUCUGAGAGGCCGACCGGCCACACUGGGACUGGGACACGGCCCAGAGUCCUACGGGAGGCAGCAGUGGGGAAUAUUGGACAAUGGGCGCAAGCCUGAUCCAGCAAUGCCGCGUGUGUGAAGAAGGCCCUCGGGUUGUAAAGCACUUUUAGUGGGGAAGAAAAAGUCGGAGAUAAAAUCUCCGAAAAUUGACGUUACCCACAGAAAAAGCACUGGCUAACUCUGUGCCAGCCGCCGCGGUAA
rnacentral:rRNA from 1 species